rnacentral:lncRNA from 1 species
UAAUUUAAAUCGAAUAAAAAACAUAUUAGAAAAGGUAAGCUACAUUCGAAUAGAUAGCAAUAUGCCCAGAAGUCAAUAUACUGAGUACUUGUUUCCAGGCACAACAAGAAAUCUCCUCCAAGAAACUCUACUCUCGCCCUAUUUUAAUAACCGGGGAGCACAUAAUUCGGCCAAAUACAAAUCAAACACUGAAUAGGAUGUUGCAGAAGGAAGAACAAAGGCCGUUGAAGAUCAAUUCUAUGGAUAUUCCACUACCGAUCCAAGCUACCAGGACGACAUUCUUAGAAUAGUGUUGCUUCUUCAUUAUUAUGGUUGUUAAAAAUAAAUACUUUGAGUUCUAAUCAUCGCAAAUUUUCAA